GAUGAACGCUGGCGGCGUGCCUAAUACAUGCAAGUCGAGCGAACAGACGAGGAGCUUGCUCCUCUGACGUUAGCGGCGGACGGGUGAGUAACACGUGGAUAACCUACCUAUAAGACUGGGAUAACUUCGGGAAACCGGAGCUAAUACCGGAUAACAUGUUGAACCGCAUGGUUCAACAGUGAAAGACGGUCUUGCUGUCACUUAUAGAUGGAUCCGCGCCGCAUUAGCUAGUUGGUAAGGUAACGGCUUACCAAGGCAACGAUGCGUAGCCGACCUGAGAGGGGUUACGGCCACUGUGGAACUGAGGCACGGUUCAUACUACUACGGGCGGCAGCAGUAGGGAAUCUUCCGCAAUGGGCGAAAGCCUGAGGGGGUUGCGCCGCGUUGGUGAAGAAGGUCUUCGGAUCGUAGAACUCUGUUAUUAGGGAAGAACAAUUGUGUAAGUAACUAUGCACGUCUUGACGGUACCUAAUCAGAUAGCCACGGCUAACUUAGUG
rnacentral:rRNA from 1 species